AAGAUUGUACCGCCAAUAGGGUGAUACCUCCUCUUCUUUUCUGUUGAUUUUCCCACUAAGAUUUUCACGAGAAAAACAAGGGUUAGAGCAGAAAUUGCGAAAACCAGGGACAUGGGGUUGCAGAAAAAGUCCAUGGACACCAUCUUGGACGUUGAUGAAAGAAGGAGCUGCAAGAUAUGCAUGGGUAGAAAAAUGGAUUGCUUUUGGAUCUUGGAAGAGUGGCCGUGUGUUACUUGGAACUUCUUUUUGUUCUUUUUGUAUUAAAAAAAUUAUUAUAUCAAACUAACGUUCAAAGUAGUCUCCUUGGUAUCACAUAGGAGUAUGUCAUAAAAAUAUAUAUUUUUUCAAAAUUUCAAUAAAAGCUUCAAUUGAUAAUUGAGAUUUCAUUUUUGAAUUGAAAUUAUAUUUAUCAAGUGAAACUUCAAUUUUUGAACUAAAAUCGUAAUUGUCAAUUGAAACUUUAUUUUUUAUCUGAAGCCUCAAUUGACUGAGGCUUUAGUUAAUUUUUUUUUUCUUUUAAAAUUUAAUUAAAAACUAUUAAAUUAUAAUUUAUUAUUGACAUUAAAAAUCUAUGUUUUAGUAAUAAAUUAUUCAUAUUUAAGCUUAAGAAUCUAGUAUUACUUCAACAAACAUAAAUUGAUAAAUAGAAUAUAUUAUAAAUGAAUAUUCUAUUUAUUAAUAAAUUAAUAAUUUUAAAAUAAUAAAUUUAUAUAACAUAUAAAUAAGAUAUACAAUUGUAUAAUUUAUUAAUUUAAGAUAUUUAAUUUGUUAUUUUUUAAGAUAUUAAUUUAUUUGUAUUAUGAUAAAUUUAUCUUUAUCGAAAUGAUAGUAUACUCCUAAACGGUAGUUGUCAACUGAGACUUCAGUUAAUAUAUAUAUUUUUUUUACUUUCAAAUUGAAUUAAAAAUUAUUAAAUUACAACUUAUUAUUGAAAUUAAAAAUAUAUACUUUAAUAAUAAAUUAUUUAUAUUUAAACUUAAAAAUAUAGUAUUACUUCAAUAAACAUAAAUUGAUAAACAUAAUACAAUAAAUGAAUAUUUUAUUUAUCAAUAAAUUAAUAAUCUUAAAAUAAUAAAAUUAUAUGACAUACAAAUAAAAUAUAAAAUUUUAUAAUAUAUUAAUUUAAGAUAUUUAAUUUGUUGUUUUUUAAGAUAUUAAUUUAUUUGUAUUAUGAAAAAUUUAUCUUUAUUGAAAUAGUGGUAUACUCUUAAGUUUCUAUAUAUUGAUUUUUUUUAACAAAAUUAGUUAAUGAAAAUUAGUUAGAAAAAGUUUACUACAAAAUAUAAUUUUUAGCAGUUUCAUCAAAGUCACAAAAAAUACACACUAAACAUUUAUAUGUUGGAAAAAAAAAAAUACAUAUACAACCUCAUAUGCCUCUACAAGAAGAGAACCUAUGGAUAAAUUUGACAUAAUAUAAAUAAAUUAAUAUCUUAAAAAAACAAUAAAUUAAAUAUCUUAAAUUAAUAAAUUAUACAAUUUUAUAUCUUAUUUAUAUGUUAUAUAAAUUUAUUAUUUUAACAUUAUUAAUUUAUUAAUAAAUAAAAUAUUAAUUUAUAAUAUCUUUUAUUUAUCUAUUUAUGUUUGUUAAAGUAAUACUAGAUUCUUAAGCUUAACUAAAAAUAAUUUAUUAUUAAAAUAUAUAUUUUUAUUUCAAUAAUAAAUUAUAAUUUAAUAGUUUUUAAUUGAAUUUUAAUGUUAAAAAAAAAAACUGAAGUCUCAGUUGACAAUUAAUGUUUUAGUUCAAAAACUGAAGCCUCAGUUGGUAACUGCGAUUUCAAUUAAAAAAUGAAGCUUCGGUUGCCAAUUGAGGUUUUAACUAAAAUUUUGACAAAAAAAAUAUUUUUAUGACAUGGCACCUACCUGACACCAAAGAGGCUAGUUUGAACAUAAGUUUCAUAAAAUGGUUAGAUCUUUUUUUUUUUUUUUUUUUUUUUUUUUGUAUACAUAGGCCGUUUUGACAUCAUUCAAAGGCUUUGUUGCCACGUUAAAAUAUCAUAUUUUUAUCUUAUCUUUUUCUUUCAGCCUUAUUAUUUCUUCUAAUGUUUUUUCAAACUUACAUUUUUUUUAAUUGGCUUUCAAAAUCUUUUGAUUUGAUUUAAUGGUCAAAAAAUGUCAAAUGACAUGUGAAGAGAAAAAAGGAAGAUUAUAAUCAUAUUCUUUUGAAUUUCUAAGUUUGAAAGUAUAACGUACGUGAAGUAAACAUGCUCUUGGUUUAAAUUUAAAGAGGCNNNNNNNNNNNNNNAGAGAGAGAUAUAUAAAUCAGUUGACCUUUUACUAAAUAUCAAGAGGUUACCAAAGGGGGGGGCUCUCUUCUUCGUGUGAAGGCAUAUAUAUACAGCUUCAGGGGUACUACUCCUUUCAUUAAUGGUGAGGAGAUAUUUUAUGUUGUGAUGAUGACAAUAGGAGUUAGUAGGAGUAUUAUCAUCCUACGAACGACUGUCAGAAACCAUGGUAGGUGAUGCGGCUGUCAGAGAUCGUGGGCAGUGAUUAUGUAGAAUGAUCGUGGGAAGUGACUUGCUGUCACUUCCCCUUGUCUUCUCACUCUGCAGGUGAUGGGAUGUGGGCCAUGGCUGCUUGUUGUGAUUGUGUGUAAGACUCGCUUUACUUUAAUUGACCAUCCAGACGAUUUAUAUCCGGAUGGCUCAUGCUGAUCAUCCGGAUGUGUUGUGGAGACCAUCCGGAUGUCUACGCUCUGCCUGCGUCGUUUGCUCUUCCUUGGAUAGGGCUUGGCUUUCCUUGAGGUGGUCCGGAUAGGAUAACUGCACCAUGCAUACCUUUAGGGGAAUCCGGAUGAUGAUGGUCCGGAUGAUAAUAUGUGCCACGCGUCACCAUGAACUACGUGCCACGUGUUUCUCAAGGGGAGGGGUCCCUACAGAGGCGGAUCCAUCGAAGGGAGGGCAAAGAGUUGGGUGGGCCAAAGAAUGGUCCUGACAUUUUGACUAAUGCAAAUAGAACCAAUGGCACCAAUCAUACGUAACACAAAUCCACACCACAAAUUUGAAUUAAUUUUUGCUACUGGGGCUGCCUCCACAUUUAAACUUCUAGAUUAAAUUUUUCAACACCCAAUGGAUAACAGGUGUUAUGACUUAUCAGACAAAUUAUUAACAACUUGACCAAAGCUCCUGACAUCACUGGUUUCUCUCAACCCUUUUUAGAUGCCUCUUUCGUUAUGGACUGGAGCCAUGAGAAAAAGGGGGGAGAGCAAGAGCGAAAGAGACAUGUAAAAAAUGUCCAAGAAAAGCCUGGGUUGAUUUUCAGAUCAAUUUUGACUUAGGGAGUGAGUUAGUUCUAGGGUGGACACAAUGGAAAAAGGCCAUGAAAUCCUAGUGGGGAAGUGAGUUAGUUCUAGGCAGAUUUUUGCAGUAGUUUGGAAGGCUGGACCACUAAUCGUCCUUGGACUCACCCAAUUCUUAACCACUGCUCGCUUCUGCGCUUUCCCCAUCUAAAUGAUGCCACUGAUAAAAGUGACCAAACGCACCAUCCCAAGUGAGAAAAAGAACCAAAGAUCCAGACAUUAUUUAAUACUCGCCCACUGGCAUCAUACUAUGCAUUAUCUUAGUGUUGCUGAAACUUGAAAGCUACCCAGCGGCAGCGCUGGAACCUUAAUGCAGCUUUGCUGGACUAGUGUGCCAGUUAACUAAUCCUACUUUUGAAGAAUACAACAGUAAUUGCAGAAUUAAGUGCCCUUUCGGCCUUUCCCACCUAUUCAAUUUAACAUGAAUCAUAGCCAUAGGCCAGCAACCACACAGCUAAUAAAAGUGAAGGGGGCGGUAGUCCCCCCCAUACUCACGUUUCAUAAAUUGGACACAUUUUGGUCCCGUGGGGCAGCAAUCUGGGACUUAUUCUACCUUUCUUGGGUUGUUUGUUGGGUUAUCUCUAUCAAAGGCUAAGUACAAUUCAUCAAGCCUAAUCAAAACAAAUUAGAAAAACAAACAAAUCGAAAGCAAAUUUUGGUAACCCACUUCAUGUACUGAGUAGACAUGCCUAUCAUGAAAUAUCUAGCAGACUUUUGAGUUUUGGGUCAAAAUGGCCCCUAUAUACAAAAAUAUAUUAGAUGUAACUGCUUUAUGAAACUUAUAUUCAAAUUGACCUAUUUGGUGUUAUGUAAGAGCCAUAUCAUAGAAAUAUAUAUAUAUAUAUAUAUAUAUAUAUAUAUAUAUAUAUAUAUAUAUAUAUAUAUAUAUAUAUAUAUAUAUAUAUAUAUAUAUAUAUAUAUAUAUAUAUAUAUAUAUAUAUAUAUAUAUAUAUAUAUAUAUAUAUAUAUAUAUAUAUAUAUAUAUAUAUAUAUAUAUAUAUAUAUAUAUAUAUAUAUANNNNNNNNNNNNNNNNNNNNNNNNNNNNNNNNNNNNNNNNNNNNNNNNNNNNNNNNNNNNNNNNNNNNNNNNNNNNNNNNNNNNNNNNNNNNNNNNNNNNNNNNNNNNNNNNNNNNNNNNNNNNNNNNNNNNNNNNNNNNNNNNNNNNNNNNNNNNNNNNNNNNNNNNNNNNNNNNNNNNNNNNNNNNNNNNNNNNNNNNNNNNNNNNNNNNNNNNNNNNNNNNNNNNNNNNNNNNNNNNNNGGGGGGCAUGGGAGAUUAUAUAGGUUUUUUUUCCUAGCAUAUAAAUGUUUAGUGGGUAUUUUUUGGGAGUUUUAUAAAACUACUAAAAAUUAUUAUUUGUAGUAGACUUUUUCUAACUAAUUUUGUCAAAAAAAUCUAUAUAUGGAAACUUAAGAGUACACUAUUAUUUCGAUAAAUAUUUAUUUGUCAUAAUGUAAAUGAAUUAAUAUCUUAAAAAACAACAAAUUAAAUAUCUUAAAUUAAUAUAUUAUAAAAUUUUAUAUCUUAUUUGCAUGUCAUAUAAUUUUUUUUAUUUUAAGAUUAUUAAUUUAUUGAUAAAUAAAAUAUUCAUUUAUUGUAUUAUAUUUAUCAAUUUAUGUUUAUUAAAGUAAUACUAGAUUUUUAAGUUUAAAUAUAAAUAAUUUAUUGUUAAAGUAUAUAUUCUUAAUUUCAAUAAUAAAUUGUAAUUUAAUAUUUUUAAUUAAAUUUGAAAGUUAAAAAAAAAAAAUAAUCAAAGCCUCAGUUGGAAACUACGGUUUGGGAGUAUACUAUUAUUUUGAUAAAGAAAAAUUUGUUAUAAUACAAAUAAAUUAAUAUCUUAAAAAAUAAAAAAUUAAAUAUCUUAAAUUAAUAUAUUAUACAAUUUUAUAUCUUAUUUAUAUGUUAUAUAAAUUUAUUAUUUUAAGAUUAUUAAUUUAUUAAUAAAUAAAUAUUCAUUUAUAAUAUCUUUUAUUUAUCAAUUUAUGUUUGAUGAAGUAAUACUAUAUUCUUAAGCUUAAAUAUAAAUAAUUUAUUAUUAAAAUAUAUAUUUUUAAUUUCAAUAAUAAAUUAUAAUUUAAUAGUUUUUAAUUAAAUUUUAAAGUAAAAAAAAAAUUAAAUGAAGCCUCAAUUAACAACUACGGUUUUAAUUAAAAAACUGAAAGCUCAAUUGCCAAUUAAAUUAUACAAUUUUAUAUCUUAUUUAUAUGUUAUAUAAAUUUAUUAUUUUAAGAUUAUUAAUUUAUUAAUAAAUAAAUAUUCAUUUAUAAUAUCUUUUAUUUAUCAAUUUAUGUUUGAUGAAGUAAUACUAUAUUCUUAAGCUUAAAUAUAAAUAAUUUAUUAUUAAAAUAUAUAUUUUAAAUUUCAAUAAUAAAUUAUAAUUUAAUAGUUUUUAAUUAAAUUUUAAAGUAAAAAAAAAAUUAAAUGAAGCCUCAAUUAACAACUACGGUUUUAAUUAAAAAACUGAAAGUUCAAUUGCCAAUUGAAACUUUAACUAAAAUUUUAAAAAGUAUAUAUAUUUUUAUGAUAUGGCUCCUACGUGGUACCAAAGAUAUUAACUUGAACAUAAGUUUCAUAAUAAUAUUUUUUUUAUAUAUAAAUGGGUCAUUUUGACUCAAAACUCAAAAGUGUAAGAUGUCUUGAAAGUGAUUAGGCACUUACCAUCCUCCUCUUUUCUUUUUCAAAACUUAGAUAUUUCUUUGGGAAAUCAUGCUUUAGGGAUAAUUAAAACUUAAAAGCAUAUAAUGGACAUAAGAUGAUUAUGCUUUAACCACGAGAAACAUGAAAUAGAAAUUAGGAAAUGUGAAUACACGGUUUUGUUGGCGGCGGCGGCAUAUCAUCAUCAUCAUUUUUUUAUAUUUCUAUUUUACUAAAAUAUUUCUUUAGAAAUUGAAAGAAAAACAUAAAAUAAAAAUAUUUUUGUCUUUAAUAAUUUUUAAAUAAGCAUAAUUUUUUUAACAUCUUAAUACUAUUAAUAUAAUCCAUUUUAAUAUUUUUCUCAUAUCCAUUUUUGUUAAUUUGAAAACAUUCAAGUAUAACAAAUUAUCAGGUAUUUGUCACGAGUUAAUGUACUUUGAUUCAUGGUGAAAAUUGUUGAAUGGUGUCUCAAAUUCCUAAUUUUUUUUUGUAAAAAGAAUAAUAUAUAAAAUAUUUCAUAAGUUUCUAUAUGGUUGUAAUUAGAUUCCUUAUUUAAAAAAGAAAAAAAAAACCUAAAUGAAUAUUUCUAUAAAUAUGUUAAGUCAUAAAAGAAAAAAGUUAUGAGAAAGAUAUGAACUUAUGAAAACUAUAUAUGUCGAAUAGAGUUGUGAAGAAGAUUAAGAGACACCCGAUAAAACAUGAUUUAAGGUGGAUGUACAAAGAGUAAAAAAACAUUUGAGACCUACUAUUUAUAUUUAUUUCUGUUAUUUAUAAUAUUUUUUAUCAUUUAAUGGAAUCAUGUCUCGUCAGUGGUCAUGAUUGGUCAAGUCACAUUAAAACCUCACGUGUCUUUGUGUGUAAAUGGUUUUAUUUUAUGUUAUCCCAUUCCUUAAUAUGUUUAUAUAAGAAGUAAGAACUUCCACACAUACAACAAAUGAUAUCAAAGCUUUUGUUGGCCGACAUGUGUUGCUUCCUAUCACAAUAAAAUCAUCAAAAUACUCCAAUAAGUAUAUUAGAUCUCCUACAUGAGAGUAGAUAAACAAGGAGGUGUUACCAGAUACAAUGAGUAGCCAGCUACAUCUCAAGCCUCCAGAAUCUUUGUGUCUGGCCUGUGGAAAGCACGAACAUGGAGGCCUCCAUCAAUAAGAAGGGUGAUCAUUGUCCUGUAAGUCACAGCUUUCUUAUCGUCGCUCAUCUUAAAAACAAAACAACCGGACAGAAUGGCUGAGAGGAUCUUCAUCUGCCUAUAAGCAAACUCCUUUCCCAAACAAAUUCUCGGGCCUGCCUGUUAACCAACAGAAACUGAUUUUAGCUUUCUUCAUGAGCAUGAACUUAGUAAUAUUUCUCAUAUCUGUUUUUGGACAUGGAUAGGAGUUGCUAAACUUGAAAAAGGUCUUUUCCUUGAUACAUUUUCCAUGGAGAAAUGUUGAACAGAAGAGUAAACUUAUAUGCCGUGAAGGUGAGUUUGAAGCAUGCAUGAAAUAAUGGAAUGUAAAAUCUAACCUGAAAUGCAGUGAAUUUGAAAGGGCUUUCUGGGCAAAAAAGGCCCUUCUCAUUAAGCCAUCUCUCUGGUCGGAAUUCCUCUGCAUCAUCGCCCCAUACAAAUCUCAUCCUGCCCAUUGCAUAUGGUUGGUAAGACACCAUAUCUCCUUUCCUCACACUGAACCCAUCUGGCAGCGUGUCAUCUGAAAAGCAAAUCUUUGCAUCCUGCAAACCCAGAGUUAGAAAAUUUGAGAUUUCAGAACUGUUUGGCACAAAAUAUAAUGCAGAAGAUGAAAAUGUGCAAGGAAGAUGUCAAAAAAGGAGAAGAGCAACGUAUCAAUGCUUUAGAAUCAUUUCCCAGAUAUAUAUCAAAGAGUUUGAUAUAGUUGUCCUAUGCCUUUCUUGAUGAAAAACCAAUUAUUGUUGGGACUUAAUUCAAAACCAGGAAAGCUUCAAAUCUAUGUAUAUGUAUGUGUGAAUGACUACAAAAUCACAAUGCUCAUUACCACAGGAACUGCAGGAUAGAGUCGUAGAGUCUCAGUUAUAGCAGCAUGGAGAUACUGCAUCUUCUCCAGAGCUUCUUCAGUAACACUGGCUGCAAACUCGGCAUAGUUUGUGGCCUCUUUCAGGUUGAUCGCUUCCCUCACUUCUUGUGCCACCUUUUCCUGAAUGGUGGGAUGCUUGCAAAGCAUGUAAAUGAACCAGGAAAGAGUAGUUGCUGUCGUGUCUUUUCCAGCAGUUAUAAAAUUGAGGAUUAUAUCCCGUAAGUAUUUUGGAUCAAUCUCUAUGUCCUUCAACUGCAGAAACCUUGAUAAAAUAUCGUCUUUCUUCAUCUGCCAUAACACAUAAUGAAAAAGUGAGAUUAAUUAUGCUCCAUAUUUUGAUGAAAAAUACAAUUACUAGGUGAUUCACUCACUGAAGAAUCAUUUUGUGAAUUCUUCAUUAGUUCAGUCUUGCUGUGGAUUAGCUUGUACACAAAGUCAUCAACCACUUUGAUACUCCUCUUUAACGUGGCUUCUGAACCGAUAUUCAGACUUUUCUUGAUUGUCCAGAAGAUAUCAACAUACCGAUAAAGGGUCAUGGCACUCGCAUCAUCAAAUGCGCUGCCAAACUUGGUGCCUUCUUCAUUUGAUCCACACAUGCUGUCUAGCUCUACCCCAAAUGCAAAUUUGAAUAUCGAAUCUAAGGUUGCUUUCAUAAAAAGAUCCUGCAUAGAAACUUUGUAUUAAUCAAGAGACAAGAGGAUUGUUCUAUAUGUGAAUUCGGCAUCAUGUAAAUAACCUUACUUGAAUAUCCAUUGUCUGGUUGAAGCUUGCAGCUUCAGACACUACUAUAGCAAGUUUUGCCCCAUUUUUUCGGAAAACUACACUGCUGAAGUCCCUCAAUACCUUUGUAGAGAAUUCAUAGCUCGAUACCUUUCUCUGUUGCCGCCAUUUCUCAUCGUCAACUGUGAAAAUUCCAUCACCAAGUAGAUCCCUCAGAAUGUUAUAGUUAUAGGAGCCCUGCACAAAGUUUUCAAAGAACCAAAAUUUUGAGCUCCAACCUCAGGUUUUGAACUCCAUUCCCGAUUCAAAAAUAAAUAAAUUAACAAACUAAACCUCCAAAUUUGGGGUUCAAAGGAUAAACCCUGAAAUUAAUCAUAGUGGAAGAUCCCCAGUGGUUGGAAAAUCAUAGGCACUUUCACAACAAUUCCAUUUUUUCCCAAGGCAAAUCAAGAUGAAAUAGAAAAAUCCAAAAAUUAGUUGACACUUGAUGUAAGAAUUGAGCUUUGGCAUGAAUUGAUUAUCGUUUCCCCGGUUUUAUCCUAUGCUGGAUGGGUGGAAGAUAACUUGAAAUUCCCUCCUUUUCCUUUUCCUGAUAAUUUCCAAAGUUUGAUCAAAAUCACUCUCAAUAGUUGUUUCCCCUGUCUAUCUAUAAAUAGGCAUACACAAAAAAAAAAAAAAAAAACCAAAGAAAGAACCCUCUUGAAGUCAACUUAGUUCUUUAUUUCUUAUUUCUUCAGUCCAUUAAAACCCAUACAGCCAAAACCCUGAUAUUCCUGCAAAUUUCUUCAAGAAACAAGUAAUAAUAAGAAAUGAGUUUUGAUUGAGAACCUUUACCUUGCCAUAAUUCUCGAAGUUUGUCUUGAGUAUAUACUCGACAUUAGCUGGGUCAGCAGUGAAAAUCUCAUUCCUAAAGGGGCUGAGUAGCCUGUAAGUCCUGUGCUUCCCAGCAACAUCAGUCAUGUAGUGGUGCAACCUGUUGAAGUUGAAGAGGUGGUUGAAGAUUGUACCGCCAAUAGGGUGAUACCUCCUCUUCUUUUCUGUUGAUUUUCCCACUAAGAUUUUCAUGAGAAAAACAAGGGUUAGAGCAGAAAUUGCGACAACCAGGUACAUGGGGUUGCAGAAAAAGUCCAUGGACACCAUCUUGGACGUUGAUGAAAGAAGGAGCUUCAAGAUAUACAUGGGUAGAAAAAUGGAUUGCUUUUGGAUCUUGGAAGAGUGGCCGUGUGUUACUUGAACUUCUUUUUGUUCUUAUAUUAUUA
rnacentral:lncRNA from 1 species